GACGGAGGGGGCUAGCGUUGUUCGGAAUGACUGGGCGUAAAGGGCGCGUUGGCUGCUUAUCAAGUCAGGUGUGAAAGCCUUGGGCUUAACCCAAGAAUUGCGCUUGAUACUGAUAAGCUAGAGGAUGAUAGAGGAAAGCGGAAUUCCUAGUGUAGAGGUGAAAUUCGUAGAUAUUAGGAAGAACACCAGAGGCGAAGGCGGCUUUCUGGAUCAUAUCUGACGCUGAGGCGCGAAAGCGUGGGGAGCAAACAGG
rnacentral:rRNA from 1 species